GGGGCUGUAAUCUGUUCCCUGUGGUGAAGAGUGGGCAGAGGCGGCGGUUGCUGAGGUUGUAGCAGUGGCCGUGCUGGUUGUGGCAAUGGUGUCUCCUGCAGUGUCCCAGUCUGUCUCAUCGGGUAUGUUGUUGAUAAGUCCCAGGUCCUGUUGGCUCGGAUCCACUUCCUGUUGGAUGCCUUGGCCUUCUGGACCUCACCUGCUCUUUCUUCAGACGUGCUGUCUUUCCAGCAGACCCGCUUCAAGUGGACAGGGAGGUUCUCCUGCGGCUUGUUGCAUCGCAAGCAGUGCACGAUGUUGCGCUCAGCAGACCUUGAAAAAAAUGACAAAAAGGUAGACAUUUAAAACAGUGUGUGUGUGUGUGUGAACCCUCUCUGUUGAUUGGAUGACUUACAUUAGGCCACGCUUAAGUCGUUAGUAUGCAAGCAGCUAGUCCCCAUGACUCUGAAAACACAGACACACCCAUACAAUAGUUGAGUUAAAUAAAGAAUUGACAUAAAAUAAAGUAAAAUCAAUAAAUCAAUGAAUUAAAUUAAUUAAUUAAAAAUAAAUAAAUGUGGAAACAAUAAUCUUUUAGGAUGAUGAUAAUAAGACCUUAUGAUUUAAAGGUAUGACAUGCUACUUUUACAUGCUGCUACUGAUAAAAGUUGAAUUGAAAUGAAUAAUAAACCACACUUUUAUUUGUUAAGAAAUGUUGAGAUUUGGAAAAGCUCUCCAGCUGUGGUGCAGUUCCCAAACUCUCAACAUCUGUCUAACAGAUCUUGUUGGUUUUCUUUCUGAAGGGCUAGGUGUUUGAUAGGUUUGCACCUCUUAAUAAAUGUCUCUGGUUGUGGA